rnacentral:rRNA from 1 species
AACACACACAUUUAAUCUUACCCACACUUUAUAAGACAUAUGUAACUAAAUUAGUACUCCAACAAAAAAUUAACCUUAAUAUACCCGCAAGGGCAACCAACAAUUCGUAAACCUUAGAAGUGACACACUCACCUACCUUUUGCAUAAUGUAAUUGCAAGAAAAAACAAUUUUCACAUUGUUUCCCGAAAAGUGGAGAGCUACUAUAAACACCAAACUCUUAAUGUGACACUAUUAAGACCCAGCCUACAGUAGCAGCGAAAUACCUGUCGAGCCACCUGAUAGCUGGCUGUUCCUUAAAGACAUAUAAGUGUCUUCUUACAGAACCAGCCAAAUCUUUUUUUCUGUAAGAAAAACCCUAAGAGGGACAAGCCCCUUAGAGUUUCAGAAAUAUAUUUAAUAAAAGUAUCUCAUACAAGGGCCUAAAAACAGCCAAACAUUAUCCGUUACAGGAAAUGACACAAAAAUAGAAUCAAGAUAAAAUAUUAGAUUCUACUUAUCAAGGAACCUUAACAGAAUAAUUUUACCUUUAAUGAACCGGCAACUAUUAGUAUCUUAACAUGCGCAUAAUAAGUUAACCAAAUAAAAAACAACUUACCAAUAUUAUGAUUAGCCCACUUACCAUUGGGAAUGAAUUCGGCAAAACUUUUCUUUGCCUGUUUAUCAAAAACAUCGUCUUUUGCUCCCCACUCAUAAAAGAUACUGCCUGCCCUAUGAUUUUAAUUAAAUGGCCGCGUUAGCGUGAGCGUGCUAAGGUAGCGUAAUAAACAGCUCUCUAAUUAGGAGCCAGUGAAUGGCCAAACAAAGAAAAACUUUAUCCCCAAUGACAAGAAAACUUUUUUUCUAAGUGAAAAGACUUAGAUAAAAGAAAAAGACAAAAAGACCCCGCGGAACUUCCUUAAAGCCGUAUACUUAAAUUAAACUUACGCUUAUGGCUAACUGGUUGGUUGGGGCAACCUUGGAGCAAAUAAAACCUCCAUUUUUUUUAUAAAACCCAUACAAAACUCAAUAUGGACUACAUCGCAGUUACCCCGGGGAUAACAGCGUAAUCCAACUCAAGAGUACGAAUCGAAAGUUGGGUUUGCGACCUCGAUGUUGGCUUAGGGAGAGCAACUUGGCGCAGCCGCUAAGUUACUAAGGCUAGUCUGUUCGACUACUAACCCCCUACACGAGCUGAGUUAAGACCGGCGAGAGCUAGGUUGGAUUCUAUCUUUUCUUCUCAAUUCUAUUCUUUAUUGUACGAAAGGACCCAAAGAAACACACGCAAAAAGUGUUUUCAAUAAACCAUGCACUAUAUAACUUAUCUCAAAAAAUA